GGUUAAGCGAUUAAGCGUACACGGUGGAUGCCCUGGCAGUCAGAGGCGAUGAAGGGCGUGCUAAUCUGCGAUAAGCGCCGGUAAGGUGAUAUGAACCGUUAUAACCGGCGAUACCCGAAUGGGGAAACCCAGUGUGACUCGUCACACUAUCAUUAACUGAAUCCAUAGGUUAAUGAGGCGAACCGGGGGAACUGAAACAUCUAAGUACCCCGAGGAAAAGAAAUCAACCGAGAUUCCCCCAGUAGCGGCGAGCGAACGGGGAGGAGCCCAGAGCCUGAAUCAGCAUGUGUGUUAGUGGAAGCGUCUGGAAAGGCGCGCGAUACAGGGUGACAGCCCCGUACACAAAAAGCGCAUGUGCUGUGAGCUCGAUGAGUA
rnacentral:rRNA from 1 species